AGAAAAAAAUCACACACACACCAAACUUUUAUCGUCAGUGCCAUUUCUAUAAUUACUUAAUCGGUUCUUGUUUUCAGUUCAAGGCUACUGGAUUGGAGGCUACAAUUUCAAAAUGAAUGGAAAUUUUGAGUGGAUUAGUAAUCAAGACCAACCGAUGACAUACAGUGACUUCGGCCUAAAAGACUACCCGAACAUACAAAGAUGUCUCUUAUACUGGAAGGGUUAUGGAUACGCUUGGGGUGAUGGUCCUUGUACCGAACCAUAUCAUUAUGUGUGUGAAUUUAUCAAACAAUAACCAUUAUUGCGUAUGGAGAAUGGCCUUGUGUGUUUUUAUCAUUUUCUCUCAGUCUACACACUUUUGGGGCUGCCAUGAUAAAAUAUUGUAUCAUUAUUCUUUAAUGAUCUGCUUGUGUAAAUUUGGUCUGUAUAAUCAUCGAAACAAUACCAUCUCAAAUCUGGAGUUGAUAAAAACACUAAUUGCGGGGGUUGUUGUUCAUAGCAAUAUCUUGGUAUGAGAAAUUGAGAAUGUUUGAUCUGUAUAUCAAAAUAUGAUGACUAAUUCAGUUCAAGAGUCUAAACGUA
rnacentral:lncRNA from 1 species